AGUGAUGCCACAGUACCACCACUCCAGUCCCUAUUUCGACGACGAUGACGACGAAGAGCUAAUCAAGAAGAGGAGGAAGCCGCCGCCCAGGCCCUCCCCCUUCCUAACCCCGUCCUCGCCGCACCCACCCCGCCGCGCCCUCCUCAUCCUGGUCAUCCUCUCCGCCGUCUGUCUCAUCGUCGGCAUCGCUGGGAUCGCGUUCGCCGCCGCCGCCAUCCGCCGACCCCCGCGCAUCGUCACGGUCUUCCGCUGCGGCCGCGCCGAGGACACCCUCCGUACCUUCCGAUCCAAGUCCCUCGCCGCCACCGGCCGGCCCGAGGAGGGCGUGGCGGCGAGGCCCAAGGUGAUUGGGGUCGUCGGGGUCCUCACAGGGUUCUCUUCCUCCGAUCGUCGGGCUGCGCUUCGGUAUACCUGGUUCCCUCGUGAUCCUGACGCCUUGUCUCGUUUGGAUCAUGCUACUGGACUGGCUUUUAGAUUUGUGAUUGGGCAGACAAAGGAUCCAAAGAAAAAGGCAGUGCUGCGGAAAGAAGUAGAGACGCACAAUGACUUCAUGUUUGUAGAUGCUGAUGAAGAUAACUAUAAGUUGCCCUAUAAGACGGUAGCAUUUUUCAAAGCAGCUUUCAACCUUUUUGAUGCAGACUUUUAUGUGAAAGCUGAUGAUGAUAUUUAUUUGCGGCCAGAUCGACUUGCCACUCUUCUUGCUAAGGAUCGAGCACAUCGUCUUACUUACAUUGGUUGCAUGAAGAAAGGCCCAGUUAUCACUGACCGAAAUAUGAAAUGGUUUGAAAGUUCAGGCCAUUUGAUUGGGAAUGAAUACUUUCUACAUGCACAUGGUCCGAUAUAUGCUCUUUCUGCUGAUAUUGUAGCUGCUUUGGCAAGUGCAAGAAAUGAUAGUUUGAGAAUGUUUAACAAUGAGGAUGUCACCAUCGGUUCAUGGAUGCUUGCCAUGAAUGUGAACCAUGAAGAUACCAAAGCUUUGUGUGAACCUAUAUGCACAUCAACAUCUAUUGCUGUCUGGAGCAACCCGAGAUGCUUAGAUCCAUGUGACCUUAAAGAGAAACUGAUGGAGCUUCAAAACGUCAGUAUGUGCUCAAACAGCUCGACAUUGCCUCCUGAAGAUGACGAAGAUGACUAGUGCUAGUUUGUUGUCCCAAAGAAUUUUUGCAUGACAUAUUCAAGAAGGGCUCACUCACUGGCGACCAAUCUACAAAAGGCCAACAAUUUUCAGAUGCCCCCUUUUUCUCAUAAUGGUGCAGACAAAAGGGAGACAAUUUUCAGAUGCCCACUCUAAUCAAAAUCAUAUCUUGGAGGUAACUUGCGAUGCCACCCACUGCUUCAUGUCAAUUUCAUUGUACUUCCACAUAAUGAUUUGAAUUCUAAGAUUCUAAAGUAAAUGUUGACUAGCAACUGCGUAUGUGUUGAUAGAGUAAGUCUCAUCUUUACCUGUCGUUGGUUCACAACAGCCUGUGUUGGCCAACCUGGAGAAGAAACAAAAGAAUCAUCACAAGAAUCUCUUACACUCGAUCAGGCUGCAUUACUUUGUGCUAAAAUACUCUUUAACUAGGCGUUCAGUUUCAAAUACAUGCGACUAAAUCAUGCUUAACUUGUCCGAAUGUUCCGGUGAACAACAAAUUUGGAGGAUAUAUAUCAAACCUAAAUUCAAACAUAAACACCGGUAGCAAGGAGCAGGAAUAGAGAUCCAAAACCC